AUACUUACCUGGCAGGGGUGAUACCGUGAUCAAGAAGGUUGUUCACCCAAAGUGAGGUUCAGUCAUUGCACUGCGGCUGACUGACCUUUGUAAAUUACCCAAAUGUGAGAAUCUCGACUGCAUGAUUUGUGGUAGUGGGGGGGAUUGCGUUCGCGCUGACCCCUG